rnacentral:lncRNA from 1 species
AGUGGUUUUUCAUACUCCUUCUCUUUGAACUUCUCAGCUUCUUCUUUUUGUUUCUCGUUCCACAUAUCUUUUUCUUCACCUUCCUCCUUUUGAUCCUUUUCCUCUUCUAUACUUAUUUUUUUAUCAACCUCUCGUUCUUUAACAAUUCUUCCACUUCUAGUAACAAUUUCGCAAGCUUCUUCCCCUCUACCUUUCUCCAUACAGUCAACAACACAAACACUUUUCUGCAUAAUUCUCUGGAAAAUUUCUUCGGAUUCUGUACUUCUCUUAAUAGGGUUGAAAUGAAGCAUUUGUGGGGCCUUUGAAGUUUCUAUCACUGUCUACCAUAACUCAGCAAGUUUUCUUGUCACUUCCUCCAAUUGUUUUGCAAUCACAUUAUUUUGAACCAUUGAAAGUUCCUAAAUAGCAUCAAUAUGCGCAUCAUGUGCUUCUUCGUUGUCAGCCAUAAGUUCUAUCAAAUUAUAAGCUUCAGUCUUUCUACAAAUACUACCUCCAGCUGAAGCAUCUAACACCAUCUUAGUCUGAAGGCACAGGCCUCCAAGGAAAACAAGUAAAUAUGAAGUCUUAUCAAGCCCAUGAACUAGGGUCUUUCUUAAGAACCUUUAAAUCUAUUCCAAGCCCUUCCAAGCGUUUCUCCUCUUCCUUGUUUAAAUGCAAAAGUCUCCAGCCUCCCCUGAAUAAUCCUUGCAGGCAAAAAGAAUUUAGUAAUAAAUUGAUGUGCCACAGCUUCCCAAGUCCUGAAAGUUCCUUCAGGGAAAGAAUGUAACCAAUCCUUUGCGUUUCCUUCAAGAGAG